rnacentral:rRNA from 1 species
ACGAACGCUGGCGGCGUGCUUAACACAUGCAAGUCGAACGGAAAGGCCCUGCUUUUGUGGGGUGCUCGAGUGGCGAACGGGUGAGUAACACGUGAGUAACCUGCCCUUGACUUUGGGAUAACUUCAGGAAACUGGGGCUAAUACCGGAUAGGAGCUCCUGCUGCAUGGUGGGGGUUGGAAAGUUUCGGCGGUUGGGGAUGGACUCGCGGCUUAUCAGCUUGUUGGUGGGGUAGUGGCUUACCAAGGCUUUGACGGGUAGCCGGCCUGAGAGGGUGACCGGCCACAUUGGGACUGAGAUACGGCCCCAGCUCCUACGGGGGGGAGCAGUGGGGAAUAUUGCACAAUGGGCGGAAGCCUGAUGCAGCAACGCCGCGUGCGGGAUGACGGCCUUCGGGUUGUAAACCGCUUUCGCCUGUGACGAAGCGUGAGUGACGGUAAUGGGUAAAGAAGCACCGGCUAACUACGUG